AACUGUGUGCGGUGAAUCACACGGCUCGUGCGUAGAUGAAGAGUGCAGCUAACUGUGCGAAUUAGUGUGAUUUGCAGACUGCUUUGAACAUCGAAAUCUUAAACGCAUAUUGCGGCCAAAGGCUUGCCUGUGGCCACGUCUGUCCAAACGUUG
rnacentral:rRNA from 1 species